CCGGCGCGCGCUCACGCGACGCGCAAUCUAGCAACAUGUCGUUCUUUAAUAAUCUUAAAAAGGUGCUGCACCUAGGCAGCGGCAACGAUGCCAGGAAGAAGAAGGUGUUCAACAACAUCCGCGACAACAGCGACCCCUCGGACAACUGGGACAUGGUCGGCGAGCUCGGCGAUGGCGCGUUUGGGAAGGU